rnacentral:rRNA from 1 species
UACGUAGGGCGCAAGCGUUAUCCGGAAUUAUUGGGCGUAAAGAGCUCGUAGGCGGUUUGUCGCGUCUGCCGUGAAAGUCCGGGGCUCACUCCGGAUCGUGGCGGUGGGUACGGGCAGACUAGAGUGAUGUAGGGGGAGACUGGAAUUCCUGGUGUAGCGGUGAAAUGCGCAGAUAUCAGGAAGAACACCCGUGGCGAAGGCGGCUCUCUGGGACGGUACUGACGCUGAGACGCGAAAGCGUGGGGAGCGAACAGG